UGCUCCUUUGGGACAGAGGAGAACUUUCUGGGCUUUCUUUUGCAUCAGAGGAGGUUGGGUUGCUAUGCAUAAGUUCACAGAGCAACCCAUAGAAGCUGCUAUUGUGAUGUCAGUGGAGGGCUGCCACAUCACAGUGCUGUCAAGACGAGGUUGCCCUGGUGCAUGCAAGGCAUCAGCGCCCAGAGCAGCUCUUGGCGUGCUCGUUGCAGGAGGAUUGCCUUGACGGAGCUGUUCUCAGGCAACAGUUUGUGCCCUGACAAGGGAGUCUGUUUCUUUUGCCUGCUGUUGCACAAGUCUGUGGACUUGUGUAGGCAUUGUUUUUUUUUUCCCCUGCGGUUGUAGGGUGUACGGACACGUGCCGGUGUCCUUUUUUAUUUUCGUUGUUUUUUGAACAGUCUGGGGACUUGGGAAGGUGUCUUUUGUUUUCACCUCUUUCUUGGACAGUCCGUGGAUUACAACGGGUGUCCUUUUGUGUCCCUUUUUCCUUGCGCAGUCUGGGGACUUGUGCAAGUGGUUUUUUUUUUCCGUUUUUGUUUUCUGACCCACGGACUGGAGCAGCCCUGCUGAAACGAUGGAGCGAGUCCGUAGAGCAGUCAGCAGGGCUUUUUCAUCAGUGUCAUCCCGCAGAUUUUUGAAUGGUCUGAGACGUAAGUCGAAGUUUAUCCCUUGGGGCAGCACAUUGAGAGCAAAGUGCCAUAAAGGUGCCAUUGUGUUGGUAGAGCUUCUGCCAACAGCUUCGGCUAAAAAGAGGGUGUCUCUUGCCCAGCAGGCUGUGGACAACUUCCAAAAUUCAGGCUAGGAGAGCUUUGCAGGUGUCCUUCUAAAAACUGUGCGGUUCUCUCCAGAACUGAGGGAAAGCAGCUUUUUUCUGUGCUCCAUCCUUAAAGGAUGCGCCUGUUGAACUGGACCCUCUCUGUGUGCUACAAGAGCCAUUGGCUUUGGGCUGAAGGGCCGAGUGCCAAGCCGUCUUGUGUGUGCGCCUGAAACCCACAGCUGGGCUUGUGCUGUGUCUGAACAGAACUGCAAGCACUAAGAGGCAUUUGGAGAAAGCUUUUGUGGGGAAUUGUUCACAGCAACCACAAGGGACAUGCUGCAUGCAUUUUACAAAAAGAAAAUUAAAGCCCAGGAAAGAGAGGAGAAACAAGCCACUUUAGCUGUAGCGUGGACAAUGAGCUACAAUGUAGGCCCUGAGUGCUGAGGAACAAUUUGCAUUUUCCCGGCCAAAUUUCUUAACAGAAACUUGGCCGGCAAGAGGUUGACACAGCCUAGGGUAUUGGCCUGCAGUCUUGCUUGCUGUGCUAAAGAAGUGUUGCUCUGGGAGGGAUGCUGUGAAAGGAAAAUGCCCUCUGCUUGGGUGAUCUUAUUCUGUGGGCUUCCUCAGCACAGACAGUUUUGUAACAUCACCUGGUUCAUUUUCCCUUCCACCUGCAGGUCGCCUCAGAGGUGGAAGGAGUCAAGGCCGUGGUUCGAGCACCACAGCACCAGCAGAAGAACCUCCUCUGGCUCGCUCUCUUCCUCCAGAGGCUAAAGAGGAGGCAAAGGACAACUUACCUGCACGUGCUGUCAGUCCAGGGCCGGAGCAUCUGGAACCAGCCCCAGCAGGAGAGAUUCUUGCCAGUCAGGACUGCUGGGCCCAGGCAGGAGAGGCGGAGCAGCAGGAGAGCAUGGAUAGAGUGUGCGAAGCCCGGGAUUUCAGAUGGGAGCAGUUGUCUGCCCUUGAGAGAAAGCACCACUCCUCGCUAGCCCGGGCCUUUGAAACGUCAGCAGAGACAGCGGAGGAAUUGCAGCCUCACAGGGAUCUGCUGAAGGAAGAGGUUCCUCUGGCGGUGCCAAAGGUUUGCCGCCCACAGGGGCCAUCCCCCAGGGUUCUGGAGAGGCUGCUCCAGGAGUCCUCUCGCCAAGGGGACACGCUGUCCCAGGUGUGCAGAGAGGAAACGGUGCUGGCACAAGAGAAGGCUGCCCUGGAAGCCCAGCUGCCAGGCACGGAGCGGAAGCUACGAGGCCUUUCCAAGCAGCUGGUAGAGACCAGGUAAAGGCAGGGAGGAGAAUCUGGAUGAGGCAUUAUUGAAGGUCUG